AGGAUCGUUAUGUGGAUACUUACAAGUAUUUGGAAGAAGAGUACCGUAAAGGAGCACGAGAGGAUGAUCCAAUGCCCCCUGUACAACCGUAUCACUACGGAUCUCAUUAUUCCAACAGUGGAACUGUGCUUCAUUUCCUAGUUAGGCUGCCACCUUUUACUAAAAUGUUUUUAGCCUAUCAAGAUCAAAGUUUUGACAUCCCAGACAGAACUUUUCACUCUACCAAUACAACCUGGCGACUCUCCUCGUAUGAA